rnacentral:lncRNA from 1 species
CCACACACAUUGUUCAAAACAUCAACAUUAAUCCAUAACUCAACAUAUAACCUAACAUGCAUUUCUACCCAUAGAUCUUGCAUAAAACUUAUUUAAAACACAUAAGGAGCUUAAGAUCGGCUCUUACCUCUUGAAGAUUGAGAGGGAGACGACCUAAACUUGGAGAUCCACGAAAAUGAGCUCCUGAGUUCCCAAAGCUCCAAAACUUGGUUUAAA